rnacentral:rRNA from 1 species
AACGAACGCUGGCGGCAGGCUUAACACAUGCAAGUCGAACGAGCUGGGAACUUCGGUUCCCGAUGCUAGUGGCGCACGGGUGAGUAACACGUGGGAACGUAACCUUUAGUACGGAAUAACUCAGGGAAACUUGAGCUAAUACCGUAUGACUCCUUCGGGAGAAAGAUUUAUCGCUAAAGGAACGGCCCGCGUCUGAUUAGGUAGUUGGUAGGGUAACGGCCUACCAAGCCGACGAUCAGUAGCUGGUCUGAGAGGAUGAUCAGCCACACUGGGACUGAGACACGGCCCAGACUCCAACGGGAGGCAGCAGUGGGGAAUAUUGCACAAGGGGCGCAAGCCUGAUGCAGCGACGCCGCGUGGGGGAUGACGGCGUUCGGGUUGUAAACCUCUUUCAGCACCGACGAAGCGCAAGUGACGGUAGGUGCAGAAGAAGGACCGGCAAACUACGUGCCAGCCGCCGCAGUAA